CGAGGCCUUUACUGACGCUAAAGCUCGAAGGUGCGGGUAUCGAACAGGAUUAGAUACCCUGGUAGUCCGCACGGUAAACGAUGGAUGCCCGCUGUUUGCGAUACACUGUGAGCGGCCAAGCGAAAGCGUUAAGCAUCCCACCUGGGGAGUACGCCGGCAACGGUGAAACUCAAAGGAAUUGACGGGGGCCCGCACAAGCGGAGGAACAUGUGGUUUAAUUCGAUGAUACGCGAGGAACCUUACCCGGGCUUGAACUGCCGGCGAACGAUACAGAGAUGUUGAGGCCCUUCGGGGCGCCGGCGGAGGUGCUGCAUGGUUGUCGUCAGCUCGUGCCGUGAGGUGUCGGCUUAAGUGCCAUAACGAGCGCAACCCCUCUCCGUAGUUGCCAUCGGGUGAUGCCGGGCACUCUGCGGACACUGCCACCGUAAGGUGUGAGGAAGGUGGGGAUGACGUCAAAUCAGCACGGCCCUUACGUCCGGGGCUACACACGUGUUACAAUGGGUGGUACAGAGGGCAGGCGUCCGGCAACGUCCGUCUAAUCCCGAAAGCCAUCCUCAGUUCGGACUGGGGUCUGCAACCCGACCCCACGAAGCUGGAUUC
rnacentral:rRNA from 1 species